AUCGCUUCUCAGCCUUUUGGCUAAGAUCAAGUGUAGAGUUUUUAUAAAGCUAAAAACUAAGAAACUGUACCCUAGAGUUAGUGAUAUUAGUCAUGUGUAUCCAUU
rnacentral:snRNA from 1 species